AUGAUGCCAAAGCAACGGUUAUUUUGAAGACCUCAGGACAAUGAGACCUUAAGGGUGCUUGUAGAGUAAACAAAGGCUGUUUUUUGUUUGUUUGUUUGUUUUCGCUUACUGAUCGAUUGAUUUUUGAAAUGGACUUUUCUCCCCUACUCGGUUUCAGUAUUCGGGAUUUCACACGGAAAGAUCGGAAUCUGAUCAUGACAGCCAGUGGGGCGGAAGUCCCUUGACCGACACGGCCUCUCCGCAGCUUCUGGACCCCGCCGACAGGCCUGGCUCCCAGCACGACGUAUCGUGCGCCUACAGACAGUUUUCGGACCGCAGCUCCCUCUGCUAUGGCUUUGCGCUUGACCACUCGAGGCUGGUGGAAGAGAGGCAUUUCCAUACCCAGGCCUGUGAAGGAGGCCGGUGUGAGGCAGGCAGGUACUUCCUGGGAACGCCGCAGGCCGGGAGGGAGCCCUGGUGGGGCUCUCGCGCAGCCUUGCCCCUGACAAAGGCCUCCCCAGAAAGCAGAGAAGCCUAUGAAAACAGCAUGCCUCACAUCGCUUCAGUCCACAGGAUCCAUGGGCGAGGUC
rnacentral:sRNA from 1 species